GACAGAGUGAGACUCUGUCUCAAAAAAAGAAGAAAAAAAGAAAGAGAGAGAAAGAAAGAAAGAAAAAAAGUUUAAAUGUUUUAGAAACAUUCAAGCACCAAUGUGGUCUGCUAUGUAAUAGAAUCUCCUGGAAAAGCAACCCUGUGGAAGACUCAGGCAAGGCCAUUCACUGGCUUCUCUCAAUCUGUUUUUCUAUUGCAUGUGCAAUGCCAUUAAAUUAUUUUAUGUCCAUGUGCAAUGCAAUUAAAUGGCAACAUACCACAAGGUUCCUAGAACUUCUCAGGACCCACUUGACAAUGCCAGUCUUGCUUUACUGAAUAAAAGUGCAUCAUCCUCGGCUUCUACAUGUUCUAUUGUCACUCAAUCUGUACAAAUGUAUGCCUUAGUUGUGAAAAACCUUACAUCAGAUCUUUUUGAUAGAGCCCAA
rnacentral:lncRNA from 10 species